AAGAUUUUAAGUUAAAAUAAACUAUUAACCUUCAAAGUUAAAAAUAAUUAAAAUUAAUAUAUUAAAUCUUA
rnacentral:tRNA from 1 species